rnacentral:rRNA from 1 species
AUUGAACGCUGGCGGCAGGCUUAACACAUGCAAGUCGAGCGGGGAAAGGUAGCUUGCUACUUGACCUAGCGGCGGACGGGUGAGUAAUGCUUAGGAAUCUGCCUAUUAGUGGGGGACAACAUCUCGAAAGGGAUGCUAAUACCGCAUACGUCCUACGGGAGAAAGCAGGGGACCUUCGGGCCUUGCGCUAAUAGGUGAGCCUAAGUCGGAUUAGCUAGUUGGUGGGGUAAAGGCCUACCAAGGCGACGAUCUGUAGCGGGUCUGAGAGGAUGAUCCGCCACACUGGGACUGAGGCACGGCCCAGACUCCUACGGGAGGCAGCAGUGGGGAAUAUUGGACAAUGGGGGGAACCCUGAUCCAGCCAUGCCGCGUGUGUGAAGAAGGCCUUUUGGUUGUAAAGCACUUUAAGCGAGGAGGAGGCUACCGAGAUUAAUACUCUUGGAUAGUGGACGUUACUCGCAGAAUAAGCACCGGCUAACUCUGUGCCAGCCGCCGCAGUAA